AUACGUAGGGAGCGAGCGUUGUCCGGAAUUACUGGGUGUAAAGGGAGCGUAGGCGGGAGUGCAAGUCAGAUGUGAAAUACAUGGGCUCAACCCAUGGGCUGCAUUUGAAACUGCAUUUCUUGAGUGAAGUAGAGGUAAGCGGAAUUCCUGGUGUAGCGGUGAAAUGCGGAGAUAUCAGGAGGAACACCGGUGGCGAAGGCGGCUUACUGGGCUUUUACUGACGCUGAGGCUCGAAAGCGUGAGGAGCAAACAGGAUUAGAUACCCUGGUAGUCCACGCUGUAAACGAUGAUUACUAGGUGUGGGGGGACUGACCCCUUCCGUGCCGCAGUUAACACAAUAAGUAAUCCACCUGGGGAGUACGGCCGCAAGGUGGAAACUCAAAUGAAUUGGCGGGG
rnacentral:rRNA from 1 species